GGGGCCGUAGCUCAUUUGGGAGAGCGCCGCGUUCGCAAUGCGGAGGUAGAGGGUUCGACCCCCUUCGGCUCCACCA
rnacentral:tRNA from 1 species